UGUGUGUUAGUGGAAGCGUCUGGAAAGGCGCGCGAUACAGGGUGACAGCCCCGUACACAAAAAUGCACAUGCUGUGAGCUCGAUGAGUAGGGCGGGACACGUGGUAUCCUGUCUGAAUAUGGGGGGACCAUCCUCCAAGGCUAAAUACUCCUGACUGACCGAUAGUGAACCAGUACCGUGAGGGAAAGGCGAAAAGAACCCCGGCGAGGGGAGUGAAAAAGAACCUGAAACCGUGUACGUACAAGCAGUGGGAGCACGCUUAGGCGUGUGACUGCGUACCUUUUGUAUAAUGGGUCAGCGACUUAUAUUCUGUAGCAAGGUUAACCGAAUAGGGGAGCCGAAGGGAAACCGAGUCUUAACUGGGCGUUAAGUUGCAGGGUAUAGACCCGAAACCCGGUGAUCUAGCCAUGGGCAGGUUGAAGGUUGGGUAACACUAACUGGAGGACCGAACCGACUAAUGUUGAAAAAUUAGCGGAUGACUUGUGGCUGGGGGUGAAAGGCCAAUCAAACCGGGAGAUAGCUGGUUCUCCCCGAAAGCUAUUUAGGUAGCGCCUCGUGAAUUCAUCUCCGGGGGUAGAGCACUGUUUCGGCAAGGGGGUCAUCCCGACUUACCAACCCGAUGCAAAC
rnacentral:rRNA from 1 species